AACAUCCUUUGAAUAAACUCUUUCAUUUGGAGUUUCAUAUUGAUGAUGAGAGGGAGUUAUUUGUUUUUAUUUCCAUUUUGCGGAUGAUGUAAGGCAUGGAAAGGCUAAGUUAUCUGUAAAGUAAAGAAGCAGAGCUGGGUGUUGAUUUCAAUGCUGAAGCCGUGUUGCUCCUGGCUGGCCAUGUGGGCUCCCUGUGUAAGUUCUUGGACUUUCCUGCCAUGGUUGACCCCAGUUGUCUUGAUAGGAGCUGCACCAGGACCAACACAGACUGGAGUCAUGACCAGAGCACCAGCAUCCCCAGACUUCCCUUUCUGCCCUGUUUCCCUGUAUUAGUUAGUAGAAGCCUCCAACUUUCCCUCCCAAGUGUUUGGUGUUCUUCAGCACUUGCCUUGUUUUCUGACUCCAGUGGAUGUAAACUCUUUCCCAAUGCCUAGUAAAUGUUAACCAUCCCCCCUGCCCCCCGCCCCACCCCAGCAGUCAGGAGGCAAUGGCAGUGGGCCAGGUGAGAGCUGACAAUACCUUGAACCAGAGUAGGGGUGCUGAUGAUGGAGAUGAAUGGAUUUGAGAUCUCUUUACAGUGAAACAGACUUGUUCCAGGCCCUGUGAUAGGCACUGGAGACACAAAGAUGAAUAAGAUAUGGAAACCCGUCUUUAAGGGGCUUAUAGUCUAAAGAGAGGGAGGCAUACAUAUAACACACACUGGUGCACCUGACUGUGGUGGAGUGACUGGUCACAAUGCCUUGGUUCAUGCUAUAGUCACACUCUUUGUGAUGUGAGUUCCUAGCUUCUCCUAUUAGGAAGCUGAAGCUAUUUGCCUACCCUUUGGGCCUAGGCUGCUCUUGUGAUAUGCUUUAUGAAAUACAAUGUGGUAGAAGAAGUGGUGGGCCAAUUUUGAGCCUAGGCCUCAACUGACCUUGUGUGCUUCCACCAUCUUCAGGGAUUUUGCAGAGUUUCUAAGAAAACAACUCCAGGAUAGCCUCCUUGAUGACAAGAGACUCAUGGCCCAGUCAUCUCUAUCACCUUUACUGAGAGCAGGCCAGCUACCAGAUAGGAACACGGAGGCAUAGAGAUGUAAGGUAUCUUGAGCAAAGCCACAGAGGGAAGGUUCCAGGAGCUGGAAUUCCAUCCCUCAUCUGUCUAGCUUCAAGACCCACGCUCUCUCUGAGGACAAAGAUAAGGACGCAAACCAAAACAGAGAGGAGAAAACAAGCUGGCCCCGGAGGGUUGAAGAGUGAAAUCACCCCAGUCACGGCGGAUUUGACUACGAAAGGGGCUCUGAGAAGGCAAAUGCCUUUGUCCAAGGUCACCGGCCGGAUGUAGUGGAAUCCAGGACCAGCUGCCUCCCCACACCCAUGGUGCUUUUAUGGCACCGGGAGAGGCCAAGUGCAAGAAAGGAAAUGGAAUGACUCGUUUACUGCUUCAGGCACUUUCAGCAACAAGUCCUGCUUACAAACCCGUCAAUCUACCUGGCCUCCCCUCUUCCUCUAGAGGGGGCCUCCAGCUCCUCACCUGACAGACGAAGAGGUUGGCAAGAUGCUUUCCGGAAGAUCUUAGAGCUCUGACAUUGGAAACUGCCAUGGUGAAGUGCAGAGAAGCACUCUUUAUUCCAAGGAACCCUUCAGUGCGAGGAGAAUCUUCCCAAAAUGGAAACUGGUAUGACUCCUAUAAGCAGUUAGCUGAUUUGUGUCUGUGUGCCUGUUAAAUGGAUUUACAGCUCAUGAUACCUCAUUUCAAUUUAACUAAUCCUCACCGAAUGGACAAGUGAUUUUAAAUGAUUCCCUGAAGGAACUGCAAGCUGAAGAUCAUAUUAAUGAGGCAAAUCCAAGGGAACGGCAGGAAAAUGGCUAGGAGGCUACUUCGUGGCAAGUCCUAGUGCUCGCUGCUCUUUCAGCGAAUGCCUGGAUAAAAAUAAUGGCAGGCGAAUCACAUCAGUCACAGAAUUGGUCAAAAGACUUAAAAAAUUAUUGAGAAAACUCUUUGAAAUAUGGUCUUUUCAUCCACUGUGGUUAAUGAUGAGUCUCUCCUUGGGUCUUGACACACCUGAAGAGGGUGUGAAGCCAUUGCAAUUAGCAAGACAUUAAGAAUUUUUUUCCAACUGGUUCAAGUCAUGAUAUACUCAAUCCAGCCCUUUACACAUUUUGGUGAAAUUUGAUAAUUUUGAAUUUGUUUCUUAAGAGUGAAAGUGAGAAGCUGUAAUCCAUUGGUCAGAAACUUGCUCCUCUUGCUACUGUGAUAAUGGCUAAAGAAAUAUCUGAACAUGACCCAGUGGCACAUUCAAAGGGACUCCUUGGUCAUUAAAUAUUGUCGGAAGAUGCACAGCAUCUGUGGCUGAAAAGUUGAAGGAACAUUAAACAAAUAAUUCAGCGUGAGAGAUUGGCUUUGCAACUGAUGGAAAGUACAGAUAUUUUCUACACAUUUCAGCUUAUGCUGUUUCUAGAUCGUUCAUUUCAAUAAUGAAAUACAUUGAAGGGCCCUUUCUUGUGAGCUCUCAAAGGAAAGAUGUACCAGAAAAGAUUACAUUCUCAACAAUAGAUGAGUUUCUUAACAACAGCAACGUUUUGGGUAUUUAUGUUGACUGGAGUGAAAAAAAAAAAAAUAGACACAUUUCAUGAACUUGCACCUUAUGUGAAAUUUAUCUGCUACAUUGACCAUAGCAAGCUAUUUAAGCCAGGAAGUUAAAGACACAAAAGCACAGAACACAGUAGGAUCUCACCGAUGUGGAUCAUUAUACAGAGGCAAGAAGUUUACAACAUAGCAGAAUCUUUAUAAUACUUGGUAAUGAGAUAGGGAGUACUCCUGAAAAUACUUUAUUUAAACAGGGAUUCCCUUAUUGUCUUCUGGCCAACUAUUUGAAAUAAUGAGUGAAUAAAAUCAAGGGUUGAAAUUAUUCGAUCUUUUCCAGGUUGACAAGUGGCUGUCAGGAAUAAGCUAUAGCAGAUACAUUGGGGAAAAAAAACACGAACCUGCACUCAAGUUGUCCCCUAAGGGUAAAUGUCACAACUUAAUAACGAGACAGUAAGUGCCUUUCAAAGAAACUGGUAAACCACAAUGAGAUACCAUCAUACAUGCACCAAAAUGGCUAAAAUGAAAAAAGACAGACAAUACCAAGAGGAGGCGAGAAUGAAGAGCACCCAGAAUUCCCACGUGGUGGGAGGGUCAAUUUAUGGAACCGGUCAGGCAGCUGUUUGACAAUAUCUAAAAAGCAGAACAUAAGCAAACCCAGUGACCCAGCAAUUCCACUCUAGGGAUAUACCUGACAGAAAUGCAGACAUGUUGUCCAAAAGACAGGCAUUGAAAUGCACAUAGCAACACUGUUGCUAAUAUUUGCUGGAAUUUAUUCAAAUGCCCAUCAAAAGCAAAAGGGAUAAACUCACUGUUGUGUAUUCACACUAGACAAUACUCUAUGCAAUGAGAAUAAAUGAUCCAUGACAACUUCAGUGAUAUGGAUGAAUCUCACAAAUCAAAUUUUGAGCAAAAUGAGCCAGACACACAAAAAGGUGCCCCCUGUAUGAUUCCACUUACAUGAAGUUUAAAAAAAAAAAAAAAAAGGAACAGGCCAAAAAGCUAGGAUAAUUGUUACCUUUGGGAGGAUGGAAAUAACUGGAAAAGGCACAAAGGGGUUUUUGAUAAUGAGGCUGAAGAUAAUGUUCUGCUUCUUGUUCUGUGUCUUUAAUUGGGUGUGCUCAGUUAAAUAAAAUACACUGAUCUAUACACUUGUGAUAUGUACAUUUUCCUGUAUGCAUAUUACUCUUGAAUACAAAGAAAAAAAAAUGACACCUUUCCCCUGAAGCCGUGUUUGAGCACUGGUGAUUUGAAACAUUUCCAGUGUUAACAUUGUUAAAAAUGGUAUAUAUAACGGAGAUCUCUAUUCCUGGAAAGACUGAAACAGAAUAUUCUAGACUGUUUUAAGUUUCUAAAUGUUUUUGAUGUUGAACGAGUUUUAUUUAUUUAUUUUUUAAUUCCAAUAAAUUGUGGGGAAAAUGGAUUGUUAUCAGGGAGCUUGGAAAUUUACUAGCCAAAUUCACCAAGAAUCUUUGCAUAAUUGGUAGAUAGAAUUGAAAAAGGAGCAUUAUGACUGAGUAAGGUAAAAAUGCCUCAUUUCUUUCAUUUGAAUUUAUGCAUCUUUGAGAGGCAUCUUUUCUAGCAACAACAGGCACUUAAAGCAAGUGUCAGAACAAACCAAAUUUAGGACCAAACUGUUAAUCACUACAUCAUACAGAUUAAUCCAAGGUUGAAAAAACUUAGAAAAGCCUAUUUGAAAUCACAUUGGUCUCACUAAAAGCAUUUUUAUUGUAUCAAUAAUUUUUUGAAAGCAAAAAAUAGAAUAAAAAUUACUAAAAAUUGUUUAAUUCAUCUUGAUUUCAACCUUUUAAAUAGCCAUUUUAUGUGUAUUUUAUAAUACAGAUAGUAUAUUAGAAUAAUAGUAUGUAUAUAUAAAUUAAAAAUAUAUGCACAUACACUGAAUGUCCAUGCUUGAAAUUUCGUUGUUGAUAGGGCACUCUAUCAAAAAAAGCUCAGAGACUGCUAGUCUACACCAGCAUUUAGCCUUUAGAAAUAGGUUAGUUUCGUUGAUGUAGGUCAGGAACCACAGAGAAGUUUUGAAUCCUAACUGUGCCAUUUACUAAAUGUGUGAUUUUGAGCAAUUAGUCAAUGUAUCCGGAUCUGGGUGUUCUUGUUAGCAGAAUGGAAAGUUAGCACCUGUCUGGAAAAGUUUGUCACAGUAAUUAAAUGAGCCAGUAUAUGUAAAUUUCUUAGUACCUUGAUUAGCUUCCGAACGUUUAAUCAAUAGUCACUACUCCUGUCAUAUAGUCAUUUACUAGUGUUUUGCAAACUUGCCUCAUGAGAAGGAUCUCCUGGGUGCUUAGGAAAAUGUUUCGGUCUCACCUCAGAUUUUCUGUAUUAGAAUCUUCAUGGGUAGAAUCUUGGAAGUUGUAUCUUUAGAAGGUCACUCUUAGGACCAAGCAAGUUUGAGAAAGACUGAUUUACAAGAUGCUGAAACUCUCUUCCCUCUAAUGAUCAGCUCCAUGCAUGAGUCUUACCUCCUAAGAGCCAGGAACUCCCAUAGGACCAUCUCUGUCCUGCACAGUGUCUAGCAGAGAACUCUAUAAGCCACUGGGGGGAGAAGGCCAAGGUGAAAGCUCCACGUCUGGGAUGAUAAGCAAAAAAUGGGUCUUAGUUGGUGGAGCAUAGCAAUGGAGAGACUGGGAGAGGCAACAGGCAGAGAUCCUCCACAGGAGAGAGGCAGCAUGAAGAAGCAGGAGAAACUUCCCCCUUGGGCUUGGGUGCAGAAGUCGGACUAGCUCCUUGGGGUGCUAAGUGGGAGACAUCGGAGGCAAAGCAUGGCGCCCAGGCACACUGGGAAGGCUCUGUGUCCUAAGUCCUACGUCCAAGGUGGGAGUUGACCACAACUGAUCAAUAAAAUUACCCAGGUCCAGGGUAAGAUAGACUUGGUGCUUUACCAUUUGACCUUCUUGACAAAGAUCCAUACAUACCAUUCCCAUUGACUUAGCAGAGAUUGGUCCCUGAGUUGGGGGCUUAUCCUGUGCACGAGGAGAAAGCAGCCUAGAAGCAUAGGAGGUACCUGCUUAUUCAGGUUUACCCGUACUAGGUGCUUAAUGAAUGCAUGCACAUUCAGCACGCCAUUGGGUAAUUACACUGAAUCUUGUCAUUUUGUUGCCUGUGCAUCCACUUAUUUCCCCUGUUCCUCUCCUUGCCUCUGCAAGGAAAGAUUGUCCUAGUUGGGGAGCAUGGAGCGGGUGCUCUUCCUCAGCACAGAUGCUCUGCUGUGUCCUGACAGCCCUGAGUUGCCCUCAAUUGGAAGGUGUGGAUAAUUAAGUUAAUGAACACGUUUCCACUGGCUGCUGAAAGCCUCAUUAAUCUACACACAUGUUGCCACAGGCAAAUUAUGGCGUCAAGGGUGGGAGGAUCAACAAAAAUAACUUCAGAAAUUCAUUAAUCAGACUUAGUCAAGCAUGCUGUUCAGAACUGGGAGUUCUUAUCCAGCAGUGGCCAGAGGAUUAGAUUUUUUUUUCCAGCUACAUGAAAGGGACUUCUUAAGCAGUAUUUCGGAACAUCUAGGUUAUUGUACUGGUAUUUAUGACUCUAGUGGUUGAUACUAAUGAAAUCUGUCCAAAGACUUCCGUGUGGAGGGUUCUAGAAAUCCUGAGUGGAUGAUCAGGUUUCCAAGCACACAAGAGGGAAAAUAUGAUCAUGGGAUCACAUGCAGAAACUUACCCAGCUAUGGCAGAAGUGGUUUGUGCUCCCAGGUAGGUGAUUUUCUCCCCAACCCUUCACACAGGUGUCCUUGGAGUCAGUUUGGAGCUGUUAAUGAAUGGUGAGUGGGGGCAAGAACAGGCAUCGCUCCAACGGCCCCCUUUCUGCUAUGGCAGCCUCA